rnacentral:rRNA from 1 species
UGGUGGAGCGAUUUGUCUGCUUAAUUGCGAUAACGAACGAGACUCUGGCCUACUAACUAGAAGACAGUUCUUCGAGACUGUCAUACUUCUUAGAGGGAUAAGGGGAUUGAAGCCCCAAGAGGUUGAGCAAUAACA